rnacentral:rRNA from 1 species
GAGCGGCGAACGGGUGAGUAACACGUGAGUAACCUGCCCCUGACUCUGGGAUAAGCCUGGGAAACUGGGUCUAAUACCGGAUAUGACGCGCUCCGGCAUCGGAUGUGCGUGGAAAGUUUUUUCGGUUGGGGAUGGACUCGCGGCCUAUCAGCUUGUUGGUGGGGUAGUGGCCUACCAAGGCGACGACGGGUAGCCGGCCUGAGAGGGCGACCGGCCACACUGGGACUGAGACACGGCCCAGACUCCUACGGGAGGCAGCAGUGGGGAAUAUUGCGCAAUGGGCGGAAGCCUGACGCAGCGACGCCGCGUGGGGGAUGACGGCCUUCGGGUUGUAAACCUCUUUCAGCAGGGACGAAGUUGACGUGUACCUGCAGAAGAAGCGCCGGCUAACUACGUGCCAGCAGCCGCGGUAAUACGUAGGGCGCAAGCGUUGUCCGGAAUUAUUGGGCGUAAAGAGCUCGUAGGUGGCUUGGUCGCNGUCUGCCGGGAAAGCCCCGCAGCUUAACUGCGGGUCUGCGGGUGGNAUACGGNCCGGCUAGAGGUAGGUAGGGGCAAGCGGAANUUCCU